AGAUUUUUAGCUUAACGGUCGAAGCAUACCUUUGAUAAGGGUAAGAUAUUUGGUUCAAUUCCAAAAAAAUCUA
rnacentral:tRNA from 1 species